GACGAACGCUGGCGGCGUGCCUAAUACAUGCAAGUCGAACGAGCGGCGGACGGGUGAGUAAUGUAUGGGAAACUGCCCGAUAGAGGGGGAUAACUACUGGAAACGGUGGCUAAUACCGCAUACUAUCGGAUGAACCCAUAUGGGAUUAGCUAGUAGGUGGGGUAAAGGCUCACCUAGGCGACGAUCCCUAGCUGGUCUGAGAGGAUGACCAGCCAAACUGGAACUGAGACACGGCCCAGACUCCUACGGGAGGCAGCAGUGGGGAAUAUUGCACAAUGGGCGCAAGCCUGAUGCAGCCAUGCCGCGUGUAUGAAGAAGGCCUUAGGGUUGUAAAGUACUUUCAGCGGGGAGGCGUUACCCGCAGAAGAAGCACCGGCUAACUCCGUGCCAGCAGCCGCGGUAAUUC
rnacentral:rRNA from 1 species